UGAUCCGGAUGUGCAGAGACUUAAAAAGUUCUUGCCUUACAAGAUUGUGAACAAAGAUGGGAAGCCUUAUAUACAAGUGAAGAUCAAAGAUGGAGAGACCAAGGUGUUUAGCCCUGAAGAAGUCAGAGCUAUGAUACUGGUGAAGAUGAAGGAGAUGGCUGAAGCAUACCUUGGGAAGUAAAUUAAGGAUGCCGUUGUUACUGUUCCAGCUUACUUCAAUGGCGCACAGAAGCAGGCCACAAAGGAUGCAAGUAUAAUUGCAGGGCUUAAUGUGGCUCGAAUAAUUAACGAGCCUACAACUGCUGCAAUUGCCUAUGGACUGGG